GCUUACGGCCAUACCACCCUGAGAACGCCCGAUCUUGUCUGAUCUCGGAAGCUAAGCAUGGUCGGGCCUGGUUAGUACUUGGAUGGGAGACCGCCCGGGAAUACCAGGUGCUGUAAGCU
ensembl:rRNA 5S_rRNA 5S ribosomal RNA